UAAUUAUUAAUUAUAUUAUUUUUUUUUAUUAUUUAUAGAAAUAACUUUAUUUUUAGUAAUUUUUAAUGAAAUAAUUAUUUUUUGAUAGUGAAUUUUACUGUAAAGGAUAUUACGAUUUAAUUUAUAAGUAGAUUUUAUUUAUUGUACCUUUUGUAUCAGGGUAAAUUAAAUAAAAUUUAAUUAUUUAUUUUUCCCGAAUUAAAAAGAUUUAUUUUUUUAUGUUUAAUAUUGUUUCAUAAAUAUUAAUAAUAAAUUAAUAGUAUUGAUAUAAUAUUCAAUUUUUAAUAUCUGGUUAUUUAAUAAAUGAAUUUAAUUCAGGAUUAUAAAAAUUAAUUUAUUAUUUUAUUUAAAUUAAAUUUUUAAUCUAAUAUUUCUAGGGAUAAGCUUGGAUUUAUUUAUAUAAGUUUAUUAUUAUUUUAAUUUUUGUAGGAUUAAUAAUUUUCAUCAUUUAUUUUGUUAUAAUAUAAAUUAAUUUAGUUGUAUUUUUUAUUCUUUAUAUUUUUAUUAAAUUUUUUUAAUUAAUUAUUUUUUAUUUUAAUAAUGAUUUAAUAAGUAUUAAUUUUAUUUAAAAUACAGGAACUCGGCAAAUAUAAUUUUCGCCUGUUUAUCAAAAACAUGUCCUUUUGUUAUUUGUUUAAGGUCUAACCUGCCCUAUGAAAUUUUAAAUGGCCGCAGUAUUUUAACUGUGCGAAGGUAGCAUAAUCAAUUGUCUUUUAAUUAAAGGCUAGAAUGAAUGGUUGGACGUAAAAUUAGCUUUCUUUGUUUUAAAUUUAAAAAUUUAAUUUUUUAGUCAAAAAGCUAAAAUAUUUUUAUGGGACGAUAAGACCCUAUAGAAUUUUAUAAUCAAUAAAUUAAAUUUAAUUUUGUUUAUUAAUUAUAUUUAUUUCACUGAUUAUUUUGUUGGGGUGACAUAAAGAUUAAAUUAACUCUUUAUAUAAAUUUAUCAUAAAUUAGUGUUUUUUUGAUCCACUUUAGUGAAUAUAAGAUAAAAUUACCUUAGGGAUAACAGCGUAAUCUUUUUUUAGAGAUCUUAUCGAAAAAGGGGGUUGCGACCUCGAUGUUGAAUUAAGAAAAAUAUUUGGUGUAGAAGCUUAAUUAUUAGGUCUGUUCGACCUUUAAAUUCUUACAUGAUUUGAGUUCAGACCGGCGUGAGCCAGGUUGGUUUCUAUCUUUAAAAUUUUAUAAUACUUUAGUACGAAAGGACCAAGUAUUAAAAUAUAAUUUUAUUUUAAUUAAUU
rnacentral:rRNA from 1 species